UCCGAAAGGGGCUACCGUUGUUCGGAAUUACUGGGCGUAAAGCGCACGUAGGCGGCCUUGUAAGAUGGGGGUGAAAUCCCCGGGCUCAACCCGGGAACUGCCUUCAUGACUGCAAAGCUUGAGGAUGUGAGAGGUUGGCGGAAUUCCGAGUGUAGAGGUGAAAUUCGUAGAUAUUCGGAAGAACACCAGUGGCGAAGGCGGCCAACUGGCACAUUUCUGACGCUGAGGUGCGAAAGCGUGGGGAGGAAACAGG
rnacentral:rRNA from 1 species